UUAAAACACAGUCAGCACUCGCACCCAAACCGGGCGCGGAAAGCUGUGUCGCGCGCCCAAACCGGGCGCGGGAAGUACUUUUCCGCGCCCAAACCGGGCGUGAAUCGAGAUUUUUUGCGCCCAGUUUGGGCGUGAAACGUAUUUUUCGGCGUCCAAAUUGGUCGUGAGUCUCGUUUUCGCGAUUUAAAGAACAAAAACGAACAAAUUUUACCUCAUUGGAUUCCGUAUCUCGAUCCUCAUUCGAUGCACUCAUUUUUUUUUGCAAAUGGCUACAAUAACAUGAGUUUUGGAAUGAUUUCUAAUAUAAAAGCUAAAAUUGUAGAGAGAGAAAGAAAGAUAGAGAGUGGAUUUUUUAAAACGACAUUCGUAAUUUUGCUACCGCGAAUAUCACCUCCC
rnacentral:lncRNA from 1 species